GACGUAGGCGGCAAGCGUUAUCCGGAAUUAUUGGGCGUAAAGCGUACGUAGGCGGCUUGGCAAGUCUGGGGUAAAAAGCCAUGGCUCAACUGUAGGAAGGCCCUGGAAACUGCCCGGCUAGAGUGUGGUAGAGGUUGCCGGAAUUCCCUGUGUAGCGGUGAAAUGCGUAGAGAUCGGGAAGAACACCUGAGGCGGAAGCGGGCAACUGGGCCUCAACUGACGCUGAGGUACGAAAGCUAGGGGAGCGAAUGGG
rnacentral:rRNA from 1 species